AGCAGCCGCGGUAAUUCCAGCUCCAAUAGCGUAUAUUAAAGUUGUUGCAGUUAAAAAGCUCGUAGUUGAACUUCAGGCCUGGCUGGGCGGUCCGCCUUCCGGGUGAGUACUGCCUGUGGUCGGGUCCUACCUUCUGGCGAAGCGUCAUGGCCUUAACCGGCCGUGGCGGGGAACCAGGACUUUUACUGUGAAAAAAUUAGAGUGUUCAAAGCAGGCACGCGCUUGAAUACAUUAGCAUGGAAUAAUGGAAUAGGACAGUGGUUCUAUUUGUUGGUUUCUAGGACCGUUGUAAUGAUUAAUAGGGAUAGUUGGGGGCAUUAGUAUUCAAUUGUCAGAGGUGAAAUUCUUGGAUUUAUUGAAGACUAACUACUGCGAAAGCAUUUGCCAAGGAUGUUUUCAUUAAUCAAGAACGAAAGUUAGGGGAUCGAAGACGAUCAGAUACCGUCGUAGUCUUAACCAUAAACUAUGCCGACUAGGAAUCGGGCGAUGUUGACAAAAUGACGCGCUCGGCA
rnacentral:rRNA from 1 species